ACAACAUUCGGACCGUCGGUCUAUCGAGCAAUUUCACUCGUUCGAUGGAAGAUCUUCUAUUGGUCGU
rnacentral:pre_miRNA from 1 species